ACGCUCGACACCUACGGGGGGCAGCAGUGGGGAAUAUUGCACAAUGGGGGAAACCCUGAUGCAGCGACGCCGCGUGAAGGAAGAAGUAUUUCGGUAUGUAAACUUCUAUCAGCAGGGAAGAAACUGACGGUACCUGACUAAGAAGCACCGGCUAAAUACGUGCAAGCAGCCGCGGUAAUCUGAGCGGGCUGGCAAGGC
rnacentral:rRNA from 1 species